rnacentral:rRNA from 1 species
GACGAACGCUGGCGGCGUGCCUAAUACAUGCAAGUCGAACGCUGAAGAGAGGAGCUUGCUCUUCUUGGAUGAGUUGCGAACGGGUGAGUAACGCGUAGGUAACCUGCCUUGUAGCGGGGGAUAACUAUUGGAAACGAUAGCUAAUACCGCAUAACAAUGGAUGACACAUGUCAUUUAUUUGAAAGGGGCAAUUGCUCCACUACAAGAUGGACCUGCGUUGUAUUAGCUAGUAGGUGAGGUAAUGGCUCACCUAGGCGACGAUACAUAGCCGACCUGAGAGGGUGAUCGGCCACACUGGAACUGAGACACGGUCCAGACUCCUACGGGAGGCAGCAGUGGGGAAUAUUGGACAAUGGGCGCAAGCCUGAUCCAGCCAUACCGCGUGGGUGAAGAAGGCCUUCGGGUUGUAAAGCCCUUUUGUUGGGAAAGAAAAGCAGCAGGUUAAUACCCCGCUGUUCUGACGGUACCCAAAGAAUAAGCACCGGCUAACUUCGUG